GUCCCUGUGGCUCAGUUGGUAGAGCAUGGUGUUUGUAAUGCCAGCAUGGUGUGUGCAAUGCCAGGGUUGUGGGUUCGAUUCCCACGGGGGGCC
rnacentral:tRNA from 1 species